CCCAACACAAAGUAGAAUUUAAGUAUUCUAUUUUUCUAAAUAUUUAUCUUAAAUAUUAUUCACAUUCACGAUUGUUAUAGCUGUGGGCGCCUGGUCUCCCUUAUUCCUGGGGUGCGUUGGCCGGGACAGAUUGUUAUCAGUUAACUAACCUUCCUGUGUGUUUCCGUGCUAUCCCUGCCCCACCUGGUGAUUUAGCUGCAGGCAAUCUUCUCCAUUGUUAAUAUGUUAAUUUACCACCUCCCUGGGCAGAGAGAUCUUUGUGCUGCAGUUAGGUAGAAAAAGGCUUCCUCAAGUCUGAAUAAACAUAAAUGGCAUUCGCUUGAUCUCCUGUCGCUUGAUCUCCUGUCGAAUGACCCUGGUCUCUGUGUCUUGUGUUCAAUCUCCAGGCACUUGCCCGGACUCGCAUUCGGUACAGCUGUGCACGAACUGUACCGGGGGGUGUAACACCGAAAUCGGGUGUUACAAUUGGAGACUCAGCUGGGAUGAUCUUCGGCAACUAGACCCAUCUGCGAGAUCGAGAAGUAGGGAAUCCCUGAGAGGUAGCCCUCGGGAAGACUGGCCUGCAAGGUCUGAGCAGCUGGGAACAAACAAGCAGCCACCCCCAUCCAGUCCUCAGUGAAGGAUAUUUGAGAAUUCAAGAAACUAGACAACAACAAAGCAAAUAAUCCGAUUAUAACGGGGAGCAACCUCUGAACAGAAUUCUCAGUAAAAGAAUCCAAAGUCACUGAGAAACACUUGAAGACGCGUACAACAUCUUUAGCCAUCAGGGAAAAUUAAUAUCAGAACGACUUUGAGAUUUCAUCUUACACUUGUUAGAUUGUUAAGAUCCAUAAUACAAGUGACAGCCAAUGCUGGCAAGGACAUGUGCAAGUGCAAGUGACAGCCAAUGUGGAAAUCAACACGCAGUCCUCAGGAAUUUGUGAAUCAAUCUACCGCAAGACGCAGCUGUACCACUCUUGGACAUAUAUACAAAAGAUCCUACCAUAAGGACCUUUGCUCAACUGUUCAUGGUAUUCUUUUUUUUUUUUUAAUAUUUAUUUAUUAUGUAUACAAUAUUCUGUCUGUGUGUAUGCCUGCAGCCAGAAGAGGGCGCCAGACCCCGUUACAGAUGGUUGUGAGCCACCAUGUGGUUGCCAGGAUUUGAACUCAGGACCUCUGGAAGAGCAGCCAGUGCUCUAACCACUGAGCCAUCUCUCCAGCCCUGUCUGAGGUAUUCUUAUAUUAACGUAUACGCAU